rnacentral:tRNA from 1 species
GCCUGGGUGGCACAGUGGUUAUGCAUCUGCCUUCGGCUCAGGGCGUGAUCCUGGCGUUGUGGGAUCGAGCCCCACAUCAGGCU